rnacentral:rRNA from 1 species
AACGAACGCUGGCGGCGGGCCUCAUACAUGCAAGUCGAGCGCGAAAGUCCGCAAGGAUGAGUAAAGCGGCGCACGGGUGAGUAACACGUGGAUAAUCUACCCUUUGGAUUGGAAUAACCUGUCGAAAGACGGGCUAAUGCCGAGUAAGCUUACGAGUUCGUGAAGUUCUUGUAAGGAAAGAUGGCGCAAGCUAUCGCCGAUGGAUGAGUCUGCGUCCCAUUAGUUAGUUGGUGGGGUAAUGGCUUACCAAGACAAUGAUGGGUACCUGGUUUGAGAGAAUGAUCAGGCACACUGGAACUGAAACACGGUCCAGACUCCUACGGGAGGCAGCAGUAGGGAAUAUUGCGCAAUGGACGAAAGUCUGACGCAGCCACGCCGCGUGAGUGAAGAAGGCCUUCGGGUUGGUAAAGCUCUGUCGGAUGGACGAAACCUUAGGAAUAAUACCCUAAGGACUUGACGGUA